CUAUUUCUGUAUACCAAAACUCUUCCCUCAAGAGGCCACGUUUCCGCCUGCCUUUGGCCGUCAGAUUGCGGCGCCAAUGCAUCCAUCCGUCCAUUGCAGCGGAGGUUUUCUCGAGCCUUCCUUCCUUGCUCUUAUCCUCUUCCUCCGGCCACCUCACAGGGAUCCAAUCGUCCUCUCCCUCAGCGGCCUCUCCUUCAGGCUGGCUUUCUUCUUCUCUGUGACCUGACGUUCGCUGCCACGGCAACCUCUUCUCCGGCGCCUGCUCCCUGCAGCUGCAGCCCAGCGAGCGCUGUGCUCCCCCAUGCCGUCGAAGCUCUUUCCGGUUCCCCCUGUUACGCUAUGGCGUGCUCAACAACUCCAGUAAAGUAUCGUAGAGAAUCAUCUUGAACUAUGGACAAAGCACGCAAGCGGAAGGCUGCUCAUACAGGGAGACCCCCCAAUGAACAAUUGACGAAUAAUGAUUCAUCCAUACUGGCUUCUCAGUUAGGAAGCUCCAUUUCAGAAUCUCUCCUUCCAUCACAGAGAGUGGUCAGACAACGAGCCCUGCUAUCUUCAGAUUUGCCACGGCCAGAGUCAUCUACUGCUGCUGAAACACGUAAGAAACGUAAGGCCGCUAUAGCUUCUGGAAGACAGGAAGAGAAUUCAGGGCCUCCUCUUCAUAACCGACACCGCCGCACUGUUUUCGCACCCCUUCAUUUGGGAAGCCAGAAUCAAACAUGCUCAUAUUGUGGUGCUCGCUUUUGGGCUGAGGAACGAGUACGUGGACAUGGACGGACAACUUCUCCAGUAUAUAACAAAUGCUGCAGAGGAGGAAGCAUUCUACUACCUCCUUACAAGCCACCUCCGGAGCCCUUACUUGGCCUUCUGACAGGAAAGGAUCCUGCACUAUCAAGACAUUUCUUUGAUAACAUCAGACGAUACAAUUCUAUGUUUGCCAUGACUUCUAUGGGCGUCAAUGUCAUAAAUUCUAUCAACGAUGCCCGUGGCCCUUAUGUCUUCAAAAUUAGUGGCCAACUAUGUCAUCGAAUAGGAUCACUAAUUCCAAACGAUGAAGCAAGACCUGAGUAUUGCCAGUUAUAUAUCUUUGACACUGAUAAUGAGGUUGGAAACAGAAUAGCUGUUGCAACAACCUCAAACAGUGACUUCCAACCAAACGAAGCUAUUGUUGCUUCCUUGAUAACCAUGCUUGAUACACACAACUCAGUUGUGCAAGUUUUUUGAACUGCCCGUGAUAGGCUAUCUAUGCAGCCAAACAACCAAUCUGGUGAACCAGAUGAUCGUUAUGCUGUCAAGCUAUUUUCCACCCCAACCCAGCAUGGCAACAUUUAUAGUGACCCAGUUACAUCUGAAGUGGUCGGCUUGGUUGUGAAUGAUUUAGGGACCACUGAAGAGGGGCGUGACCUAAUAGUGCAAGAUCACUCAUGUCAGCUCCAAAGAGUAAAAGAAACACAUUGCAAAUUUAUGGCAAUGCAAUAUCCACUGUUGUUUCCUUACGGAGAAGAUGGUUUCCAUGAGAAUAUUAAGUACAGAAGAUGUAGUCGCUCCAACAAGAUCAAGCGAAAGGUUGUCACCAUGGCAGAAUAUUAUUCAUACAGAUUGCAUGAUAGAGCCGACGAUUUCAAUACCCCUUUGCGAUCCAAGAGACUAACCCAAGCUUAUGAAGUUGAUGCGUACUGUUGUGUCGAGGAUGACCGCCUGAGAUAUUACAGGAAGAAAUCAUUUCAAAAAAAAUACAGGUCCAGCCCAUAUAAAGCUUUAGUUGAAGCGGUCAGUAGUGGGAUCACUCAAGGUUCAGCUGCAGGGCAACGAAUUUACUUGCCAGGAUCAUUCACUGCAAGUCCCUGCUACUACUACCAAAACUAUCAAGAUUGUGUUGCACUAUGUCGUAGGUUCGGAUGCCCACAUCUAUUCAUCACAUUCACAUGUAAUGCUUUGUGGCCAGAAAUUGAUGAAGCUUUGGCAUUCAUACCCGGACAACAAGCUUCUGAUAGACCUGAUAUUGUUGACAGAGUUUUUGAAAUGAAACUCAAACUACUCAUACAAGAUAUAGAGAAGUAUGAAUUCUUUGGACCUACACUUGGAGGUACUGCUCUUCUCAUCCCCUAAUAUAUUAUGCUUUACCACUUACUCCAAAGUUUCUAAAUCGUAAUAUGUUGCCUUGCACAGUUGUCUACACGAUUGAGUUCCAAAAACGAGGCCUUCCACAUGUCUGAUUCUAUGGCUUAAAAAAGAUAAGCCUAUUGAUGCUGCUCAAAUAGAUGCCUUUAUAUCCGCACAACUGCCAAAUCCAUCAGUUGAUCCGUUAGGUUUUGAGGCCGUUUCUAAGUUCAUGAUUCAUGGUCCUUGCGGAUCCUUAAAUACGUCCUCCCCUUGCAUGGUUGAUGGAAAAUGUGAUAAGUUCUAUCCAAAGAAUUUUUCUGAAACCACUACUAUAGCAGGUAAUGGUCAGGUUACUUACGCCCGCCCAAAUAAUGGUAUUACUACUGAGAAAAAUGGAGUAAGAAUUGAUAACACAUUUGUGGUACCACACAAUGUAGACUUAUUAGUUAAAUAUCAAGCACAUAUAAAUGUUGAAAGUGUUAAUCGCAAUGGAAUGGAAAAGUAUUUGUUCAAGUAUACAAACAAAGGACCUGAUUGUGCCAAAGCUGCACUCAAGAGAAAAAGAGGUAAUCCAGACUCUCCUACGGAGAUAAUUGAUGAAAUAAAGGAAUAUCUAGACUGCAGAUAUGUUACUCCCAACGAUGCUGCAUGGCGAUUGCUUCAGUUUGAUAUCCAUUACACUAAUCCAUCAGUAGAACGCCUUGCUGUUCAUCUCCCGCUAGAAAAUGGUGUUCUUUAUACAGAGGAUGACUAUCUUGAUCAGGUCAUUGAGAAUCCAUCUAAUCUCAUAACUAAGCUAACGGCAUGGUUUGAUGCCAAUCAACAAUAUCCAGAAGCCAGACAGUACACCUAUGUUGAAUUUCCUGAACACUGGACAUGGCAUGGUGAUGGAAAAUAUUGGCAUAUACGCCGAAAUAGUCGUGGGAAGGUUGGUCGAAUUGCUAAUGUUGCUCCUAACGAAGGAGAAAGAUUUUACCUGCGCAUGUUGUUGCAUAUAGUCAAAGGAGCACAAAGCUAUUCUGAUCUCCGCACUGUUGCCAGCCAUAAGCACCCAACAUUUCGUGCUGCAUGUGAAGCAUUGGGCUUGCUGGGUGACGAUCAAGAAUGGUUCCAUGCUAUGGCUGAUGCAGCACACUGGGCACUUCCCUAUCAAUUGCGACAGCUGUUUGUCACAUUACUGCUUUUUUGUGAAGUCACCAACCCUGUUAAAUUGCUUGAUGAAUACACACAGGCAAUGGGAGAAGAUAUUGCAUAUCAUGCGAAACAACUGACUCCAGAACUCCCUACAACAACCAUGGACCAACAUAUCAGAUCAUAUGUUUUAGUUGAAUUAGAAAAACUGCUCAAAGAUGCUGGAUAUAGCUUAGAUCGCUUUCACUUACCACAACCAGACCACAGUUCCUCUCGGAUUCUCACCAAUAGAUUCAUUAUAGAAGAACUUAGUUAUAAUUCAAAUGGUGCAUUUGCUGAACUAGAUGAGCAGAUCAAGAGACUGAAUUCAAGCCAGAAAUAUAUUUAUGAUACCAUAGAGCAUUCAGUCUUAAAUGGUUGUGGGCACACUUUCUUUGUUUAUGGUUAUGGUGGGACUGGCAAGACUUUUCUAUGGAAUACUUUGCUCAAUAGUAUUAGAAGCCAAGGAAAGAUAGCUUUAGCAGUUGCAUCUUCAGGCAUAUCAGCUCUGUUACUCCCAGGAGGUCGAACACCCCACUCACGUUUCAGAAUUCCAUUGGACAUCCACGAGCAUUCUGUAUGUGCAAUUAAGAAAAAUACACAGUUGGCUGAGCUAAUACAACAGACAUCCCUGAUUAUAUGGGAUGAAGCACCUGUCAACCAUAGACAUUGCUUCGAAGCACUUGAUCGCACACUAAGAGAUAUCAUGUCGUUCAAUAAUGAUGAUGCUUCCACCAAACAAUUUGGUGGUAUAACAGUUGUGCUUGGUGGUGAUUUUAGGCAAACUUUGCCGGUCAUCCCAAACGCAAGGAAACAACAAAUCAUGAAUGCAGCAAUCACUCGAUCCCGUAUAUGGCCGUGCUGCAAAGUUCUUGAAUUAACUGAAAACAUGAGACUCAACUGCCCAACUCUUUCAGGCCCUGAAAGAAUUGAAUUGCAGAAAUUUGCUGAGUGGCUCCUCUCUAUUGGUGAUGGCACAACUCCUGGCAGUACAAUAGACCAGCCUGAUACAACAUGGGUUCAAAUUCCAGACAACCUUCUAUUGCCACCCGAACAAAGGAACCUUACAGGAUUGAUUUCUUUUGUAUAUGAAACAACUCCACGUGUCACGGAAUUAGCAGCCUAUCUCUGUGAACGAGCAAUAUUGGCACCAACAAAUGAAGUCGCUGCCAUGAUAAAUAAAGAAAUUAUUUGUAAGAUAGCCACAGAAGAAAUGUCAUACUACAGUUCUGAUUCCAUUGAUGAUCCGACAUCAAAUUAUUGCACUAUGGAAUCUUUGUACCCACAAGAGUUCCUUAACACUAUCCAAAUGAGUGGCCUUCCUGACCAUCAUCUACAACUGAAGAUUGGUGUCCCUAUCAUGUUACUUAGAAAUCUGAAUCCAUCCAAAGGUUUGUGCAAUGGAACUAGACUCAUAGUGACACAACUCACUCAUCGUAUAAUUGAAGCUCAGAUAAUCACAGAAAAGGCUACAGGAUCUAAAGCUUACAUUCCAAGAAUAACUUCUGUCUCAUGUGAUCCAAAAUGGCCUUUUAAGAUAAAGCGUCGUCAAUUCCCAGUCCGUGUAUCCUAUGCCAUGACAAUAAACAAAAGCCAAGGACAAACACUUAGCAAAGUUGGCGUCUAUUUACCAAGCCCCGUAUUCUCUCAUGGGCAGCUUUAUGUUGCAUUCUCACGUGUGACAUCACCUACAGGCUUACGUGUGCUCAUUGAGAACAACUCUGAGGGGUAUGAAAACCACACACAUAACGUGGUAUACACUGAGAUUUUCAAUGACCUAACAAGCCGGAGUAAUUAUUAGUUCCAGGUCUUCUACUUUUGGCUGUUUCCAUUCCAAACCACUUGAUCAUCUAUUCCUCCGUUGAUCAAUUAUAUUCUACCAAUAUGCUUAUAGCCAGUCUAACAUGUAUAUCCAAUCAGGUCAUAGGUGUUUCCAAUUCAUCAUAUGACAUACUUUAACCGUGUAUGUUUUUGUCAAUGCAGCAACAAUGCAGCAACUAAAUAUUAAACUUCUGGUGACCAUGUAAAAUUUAAUACGAUCAACCAUGACGUCCACAAAUAAUACCGACUAAAAGGUUUCGUGAUUC